AUAUGCGGCUCUUUCCUUUGCCUCUAUAGGAAUUUAUAUGAAAAUGAUGGAGAAGUUCUGCCUCGAAUCAGUGUUGUUUGUUAAACUCAAGAACUUGUCUGGGAAUCCCCGGUAUCCUUUGUUGGGCCCUCAAUUGAGAAGUACUGUUCUAGUUACUCUGCUAUUGUCCACUUGGCUUACAUAGGCCACCAGAGAACUUCAGUUGUGAACUGCAGUUUUUGGAUCCAGGUCAAAUUGUAUUAUGCAUAAUUCACUGGCUGACACUGGGAGACCUUAUAGGAAGGCUAAUGUGUUUCCUGAAAAAUACACUGUUGAGGAUUUACUAAUAAACAUGAAAGAGUACUCUCUUUAUGAAGACCUAAGGGAUCUAAUUUCUCUCAGACCUUAGAACCAGGAAGUUGACCUUUUCCUCAACAACUGGUUUAUCCUCACUAUGCUCUUAGUCUUGUAAUUGAUUGUAUCUCUCUCCUUGCAUUAGCUGCCUGGAAGCUCAGAAGAAAAUUUUGGCUCACUCUAUCAAAGUGGAUAGGGCCCAACUUACUAUUCUUUCCCUUCCAAUUUCCUCACUGAAGUUUUUAAAAUUCAGGCCAAUUUGUUUUUGUAAGCCACCAAGAAUCAUAUGACCAUGAUGUCAGGACAACAAAAAAAUUAAUAGUCAUGGGCAUGAAACUGGGAAGAAUUUUAGAGAAAAUCUGGUCCUGCCCCUUAAAUUAUAGAGAAUACAAUUAAGACUCUGAGAGGAAGUUCCCAUCAUGGCUCAGUGGUAGCGAACCUGACUAAUAUCCAUUAGGACACAGGUUCGAUCCCUAGCCCUGCUCAGUGGGUUAAGGAUCCGGUGUUCCAUGAGCUAUGGUAUAGGUCACAGAGGAGACUUGGAUCCCAUGUUGCUGUGCCUGUGGGCAUAGGCUGGCAGCCACAGCUCCGAUUCGAUCCUUAGCCUGGGAACUUCUGUAUGCCAUGGGUGCAGCCCUGAAAAAGCAAAACAGAGAGCAAGAGAGAGAAGACUCUGAGAGGAGUGAAGUGUCAGGUGCCUUAGUAAACUAGGGGUCGGGAGUGGGGGCUGGACCUAACCCAGAUGCCUGUCCUAACUACUUUUCUUUCUACUGUGUCACUGAACCACCAAGUCCAGAAGAGGAUUUUUUCCCACCCCUUUCCACGCAGUAUCACAAAACCAUCUCUGAAAUAAUCAACCCAUCUUGCUGCUCUGGCUUCCCCCUAGGGACUCUCUUAGCAUCACCAAUUGGGUUAACAUGCCCCAAACACUCUCUAUCCGGAGCUGAGGGAAGCUGUCAUCUUCUGCAUCGUAGGGGGCAGAAUGUGGGCAUUUAAAAAAUAAGUUGUUUUAAAGAAAAUCAUUCUGAAAUGAAUGCUAGACCCUGAAGUGAGCUAGCUAUCUGUGCUGAUUAGGAAUCAAAGUUGUGGAUGCCCCGUUUCACUGUCUCUGGAGGGAAAGAAAUGGGAGGGAAAGAUGCUUUAUAACAAUCCUUGAGAAAUUGAAAGAGAGAUAGGAAUGACAGCUUCUGUCUUCUGUGACCCCAGACAGCAGUGAAUCAGCCCCUCUGCAUCAUUUGUAAACUCUAAAGAGCAGCAUUACCAUAAAUUCACGAGGGGUUGUGGCAGGAAGGGGAGCAGAUCUCUAGCCUGAGAAGUGGGCAGUCAGUGUUAGUGGAAGGUAUCUCUUUUCUUCAUAGCACAAAUUAGACUCUGUCUGCCUACAAACCCAGCGAACAGCCAGUCUUCCACCCGGGUUCUCUGGGACUGUCUCUGAGGUCUUCAAUCUCUAGGCAGUAGACUCUGGGCUUCACUGACUUUUGAUGGUGGCUGAUGAAAUGUGCUCUUUGUCCUCUUGCUGAGGCAGAGACAAGACUCUGUGGACCUCGCAGGCUAGGAGGUUGGGAUGUGGGUGACCACCCAAAUCUUGAAUGGGCCUGGGCUCAUAUCUGGGAUCCCAACUCCAGGCAGCCCCAUCCUCUCAGCAUGAAAAUCUGGGGUGGGCUUUGAGGAUUUGGACAAUCUGGAUGAUCCUAGAAAGCACUCCUCUGCUUCCUCUAGCUCUCAACUGAGUCCUUGCAUCCUUGAGGAGCCUUCUCUGACCUCCUGAUCAGUUCUCAUCAUACCAUCAGUCUCUCCUUCUUGGUACUUGUGAUGCCUUUACGUUUACAUUAAUUUGCACAAUUUUCAUUUAAUGUCUCUCUUCCAAGGAAGUAUGUACUCCACGAGGACAGGUCAAGUGAUAGUUGUCACUUGCCAUGUGCCAAGCCCAGUGUCUGGCCCAUGGCUACAGUUUGGAUCAUGAAUAAGUGAAGAAAUGAAUGAACUUCUGGACCUAAGUGUUUACUGUCUUUGAUCUCUAGAAUUAGUCCUGGUGCCCCAUGGGGCUGGGCUGGGCAGGGGACAGAAGCUUCCUCUAUCAUUAACCUUUGGCAGGGAUGUUCCCACGCAAGUAGGCUUAGGAUGUGAUGGCUGUAGUUACAGGCGAAGAAUGUGAGCCUCAGCCUGGAAAGUGGUCCUGGGAGAGGACUGGAGGUUGAGAUCAGAGUCAAAGGCACAGGGCACUGACCAGGGAGGUAUCUGAGCAGCCAGACACCCUGACACUCUGGUCUAGGUUUCCAUUUCACAGACAUGAUGGUGAAGCAAGUGGGAUCCACUUUGUUUGUACGUAUGUUUUUAAACCUCUGGUUUUCAUAUUAUAAAAUUAAUGAAAGAAGGAAUCCGAGCAGACAAUAAGUAUAUGAACACCUCUUUAAUAAUCACGAAAAUGCAAAUUUAAACAAAAAUGAGAUACCAUUUCCACUCAUCAGCUUGACAAAAAGAAAAUGGGCUGACAGUGCCAGUGUUGGGGAAGAGGCGAGGAGGCCCUCACAGGUCAGUGGGGGGCAAUAAAAGGGGAAACUGCUUUGAGAGCUAUUUGGGAUUGUCUGGUGAACCCGAAAAUGUACAGACCCUGGCAGCCAGUGACCAUUUCUAGAUACAUGUUCUAGUCUAGAGCAGUGGUUCUCAAACUGUAGCUUGCACUGAACCACCUGGAAUUUUAGAUUUGCUAAAAUAGAUUGCCCAGUGCCAGGGUUUCUUGUUCAGGUGGAACCUGAGAAUUUGCAUUUCUACUAAGUUCUCAGGAGAUAUUGGUGCUGCUUUGUCCUGGGAGCACACUUUGAGAACUGCAGUUCUACUUAAAUUCUUGCUUACGUGCCCAGGAAGACAUGCCCAGGGAUGUUUAUUGUAUCAUAUCUUAUAGUGAAAAUUAGGAAAAACAAAAAACAAAAACCAAAGUCCAUCAGGGGAAGGCUGGAGAAAGAUAUUGUGGGGUAUUACACAAUGGAUUAUUAUACAGCAGUUAAGUAAACCAAACAAAUAUGUUUAUUUCAACACAGAUAUCUCUAGAAGGAUGUACAUUGCAGAGUAUUGUAUAUAGUAUAAUAUCACUUUAUUGGUAGUUUAAAAACAAUGUAAAAAAAUUCCAAUUCUACAUAUAUACAUUCCUGUAUAAUACAGGAACUAAAACAUGGGCUAAACGCACUUCUAAUCUAUAAAAGCUGUGGAGUUCCUGUCGUGUCUCAGGAACCCAACAUCAUGUCUGUCCAUGGGGAUGCAGGUUCGAUCCCUGGCCUUGUUCAGUGGGUUAAGGAUCCGGCAUUGCCAUGAGCUGCAGUGCAGGUCACAGAUGUAGCUCGGAUCCAUGUUGCUGUGGCUGUGGCUGUGGCUGCAGCUACAGCUGCAGCUCUGAUAUGACCCCUAGCCUGGGAACUUCCACAUGCCGAAGUUGUGGCAGUUAAAAAAAUUUUAAGAAGCUAUGGUCUCUGGAGAGGAUGGGGGACUAGGACUGGGGAAAGGGGACACAGGGGCUUCUAUCUAGUCUGUUCUUUCAUUCCCUAAAAAAAGAAGCUCUAAAUCAACUAUGAUCUUUUUAUUAUGGGGCAGGUAUAUGGUUUUUAAUAUUUUUUGUGCUUUUCUAUAUUCUUUAAGUGGAUUUUGAAACAGAGUAAUAUAUGUUCAUUGCAGAAAAUUAGAGAAUGUAGAAAAUGAUAAAGACAGAAAUUAAGGAGUUCCUGUUGUGGCUCAGUGGUUAAGGAAUCUGACUAGCAUCCGUGAAGACACAGGUUGGAUCCCUGGCCUUGCUCAGUGGGUUAAGGAUCCAGCGUUGCAGUGAGAUCUGGUGUAGGUCGAAGAUGUGGCUCGGAUCCUGUAUUGCUGUGGCUGUGGCAUAGGCCAGCGGCUACAGAUCCGAUUCUACCCCUAGCCUGGGAACCUCUAUAUAUCAUGGGUGCAGCCCUUAAAAAAAAAAAAAAUACAGAAAUUUACAAAUCCAUUGUAAAUUUUUUGAAAUUCUUUCCAAUUUGAUUCACUUACAAAAAAGAAAACAGGGACCAUGCACACUAUUGACUUGUUUGCAUCCUGGCUUAAUAAGAUAUUGUAAAUAGUUUCCCAUUCAUUAAAUUGUUUGGGGUAACAUCCUUUUAGUUAGCUACAUAAUAAUCCAUCCUUGGGUAGCAUUUUUAUUUAAGCAACCCCUUAUUGGUCACUCAGGUUUCUAGGUUUUCACUGUUAUAAAUAACAAGGUGAUGAAUAGCCUAAUACAUCCGGUUUUGUCCAGGUUGCUUCCUUCUCUGCCUGGGGGCAGCAGUGUCCCUGAGUUUGGGGGUCACAAGGUGGGUGACACUGUCUGUCCCACUGGGCCUGGGGUAGGGUGGCUUGGGAUAUUAGUGACACAGAUCUGUGGAGGGAGGUGGCCUUGGACACCAGUUAAGUUCCUGGAGCCCUGGAAGUCCAGAACCUGCAGGGCUCCCCCUCCCCCUCCAUUCAUUCACUGCAGGACCUGUGUGGCCCUGGGGCAGGAACAUGAGGCAAUUAGAGAUGAGUAGGCCUGGUCUAGAUGGGAGGUGCAGGCAUGGCCACAAAUAGAAUAGUUUAAGGUAUCACCUGGAAGAGAACCCAAAGGGGCUGCAGGAGUCCUGAGGAGGGUGUGGUUGGUUCUGUGCAGUGAAGACAGUUGGGGAAUUUUCAGGAAGGAGGUUACACACACACUAGGUGUUUGGU
rnacentral:lncRNA from 1 species